UCCACCAACCCUAUCAGCAAAGGACAACAAGCAUCCGUUGCACUUUGUCCGAUGAUGGCAUGGACCAGUCCUCCGAGAACAUCCACGCACGCACUUAACUUCAAAGCGUCCGUCGGACACGUUCCUCCUUGCGAAGACGGAGGCGGAGGUGGAGGAGAUGGGCACGGUAAAUUUGUCGGAGGCGAUGGGUUGUAACUAGGUGGGUACGGUACUGGGGUCGUUGGUGGCUUCUCAUAAGGUGGCGAGACGUGUGGCGAUCUAUGGUGUGGUGGUCUCAUAUAAGGUGGUGGCUUGACGUG
rnacentral:lncRNA from 1 species